AAGCCGCGUGUGUGAGAAGGCCUGAGGGUUGUAAAGCACUUUCAGUGGGGAGGAGGAUAGCAUGGUUAAGAGCUGAGCUAUUGGACGUUACCUACAGAAGAAGCACCGGCUAACUCCGUGCCAGCAGCCGCGGUAAUACGGAGGGUGCGAGCGUUAAUCGGAAUUACUGGGCGUAAAGGGUGCGUAGGUGGUUAAAUAAGUUAGAUGUAAAAACCCUGGGCUUAACCUAGGACUGAGAUUUAAUACUGUUUAACUAGAGUAUGGGAGAGGGUAGUGGAAUUUCCGGUGUAGCGGUGAAAUGCGUAGAGAUCGGAAGGAACACCAGUGGCGAAGGCGGCUACCUGGCCUAAUACUGACACUGAGGCACGAAAGCGUGGGGAGCAAACAGGAUUAGAUACCCUGGUAGUCCACGCUGUAAACGAUGUCAACUAGCCGUUGG
rnacentral:rRNA from 1 species